CCUACGGGAGGCAGCAGUGGGGAAUAUUGGGCAAUGGAGGGAACUCUGACCCAGCGACGCCGCGUGCGGGAUGAAGGCCUUCGGGUUGUAAACCGCUUUCAGUAGGGAAGAAGCGAAAGUGACGGUACCUACAGAAGAAGCACCGGCUAACUAUGUGCCAGCAGCCGCGGUAAUACAUAGGGUGCAAGCGUUGUCCGGAAUUAUUGGGCGUAAAGAGCUCGUAGGUGGUUCGUCACGUCGGAUGUGAAAAUCUGGGGCUCAACCCCAGACCUGCAUUCGAUACGGGCGAUCUAGAGUGUGGUAGGGGAGACUGGAAUUCCUGGUGUAGCGGUGGAAUGCGCAGAUAUCAGGAGGAACACCAAUGGCGAAGGCAGGUCUCUGGGCCAUUACUGACACUGAGGAGCGAAAGCGUGGGGAGCGAACAGGAUUAGAUACCCUGGUAGUCCACGCCGUAAACGGUGGGCACUAGUUGUGGGAACCUUCCACGGUUUCUGCGACGCAGCUACGCAUAGUAGCCCGCCGUCGGGAGGUACGAGUCGCGAGAUUAAACUACAAGAAGUAGACGGCGUGAGACGUGCCGACGGACGACGACGAGGGAGGUAGG
rnacentral:rRNA from 1 species